rnacentral:rRNA from 1 species
ACGGAGGCGCUCAAAGGUUCUCUCAGUACGGUCGGAAAUCGUACGUAGAGUGUAAAGGCAAAAGAGAGCUUGAUUGCAAGACAUACAGGGCGAGCAAGGAUGAAAAUCGGACUUAGUGAUCCGGUGGGUCUGCGUGGAAGGGCCAUCGCUCAACGGAUAAAAGCUACCCUGGGGAUAACAGGCUUAUCUCCCCCAAGAGUCCACAUCGACGGGGAGG